UACGAAGGGGGCUAGCGUUGCUCGGAAUGACUGGGCGUAAAGGGCGCGUAGGCGGUGCGGUAAGUCACCUGUGAAAUCUCCGGGCUUAACUCGGAGCCUGCAGGCGAAACUGCCGUGCUUGAGUGUGGGAGAGGUGCGUGGAAUUCCCGGUGUAGCGGUGAAAUGCGUAGAUAUCGAGAGGAACACCAGUGGCGAAGGCGAGUCCCUGGACAGGUCCUGACGCUGAGGCACGAAAGCUAGGGGAGCAAACAGG
rnacentral:rRNA from 1 species